rnacentral:rRNA from 1 species
AGUGAACGCUGGCGGCGUGCUUAACACAUGCAAGUCGAAUGAGAACGGAUUAUAGCUUGCUAUAAUUGUCAGCUAAGUGGCGCACGGGUGAGUAAUAUAUAGAUAACCUGCCCUCUAGAAAGGAAUAACAGUUGGAAACGACUGCUAAUGCCCUAUAUGCCUUUAAUACAUAAGUAUGCAAGGGAAACGCUUUAGUGCUAGAGGAUGGGUCUGUAUGGUAUCAGCUUGUUGGUGAGGUAAUGGCUCACCAAGGCUAUGACGCCUAACUGGUUUGAGAGGAUGAUCAGUCACACUGGAACUGAGACACGGUCCAGACUCCUACGGGAGCAGCAGUGGGAAUAUUGCACAAUGGACGAAAGUCUGAUGCAGCAACGCCGCGUGGAGGAUGACACAUUUCGGUGCGUAAACUCCUUUUAUAUAGGAAGAUAAUGACGUGUACCUGAAGAAUAAGCAUCGG